GUUAAUGUAGCUUAAUAAAAAGUGAGGCACUGAAAAUGCCUAGAUGAGUAUUAACUCCAUAAACA
ensembl:Mt_tRNA